CAAACCGUGGAUACAGGCGUGCGCUGCGUUUUAAACGCUUGUCAUUCUUCGCGUCCGUACGAGUUAGUUUCUGUGAUUUCUGUUGCUUUUUCUUUCACUAUGAAGCUGCUCGUUUGGCUAUGGAAUACUGUGAAUAAUCUCUGGUCGAUAGAUUGAAAAUCGAUUGCAACGCAUUUGGAUAUUAAUCGCGUGUUUGGCUGAGAAAGGAUGCAUUAUGAUUCAUGGUCAUCUAAUAACUGGAACAGGAUCUUACAGUGGACGGGCAUGAAGAAAUCGGAUGGUGUGGAUUAGAUCAUUGGGGAUAUAGUGCUUUGAUUUCUCUCAUCUCAAUGUUGGGCUCCACAGGACCUCUGCCUUUGUGCUCUGAAAUGAAAUAAUGGCAACGCAUCGGGCUGCGUCAACGCACCAAGAUGAGAAGAAAAAUCCAGCCGGGUCGUCAGUUUGCGAGGCCAAACGGAAGGAUGGUUGUGAGCGCAGCGUG